GAGCAAGCAGGGAGCGAGAAGGAUGGAUGGCCUGCAGCUUCUCCUUCCCAUGCAGACAGGAAACCGCCUGGGCAGAAGCAGCACUUCCUUCCAAGAGGAUGAACGUUUAAAUGCCAUGUGGACAGGGAUGCAGGGGGUGCCUGGAUGGGGCUGGGGCCCUGGGAGAUGCUGUUAGUGAUCAUGAAUUUCCACCAUCGUCCCAUCCACACCACAGCCAGAGAGGAUCUCAGAAUGCGCUGAGCAACGGUGUGCGUGCAGCAACGUGAAUACCUCUAUGCCUUGCCUGGCCUCCGGGA
rnacentral:lncRNA from 1 species